rnacentral:rRNA from 1 species
AUUGAACGCUGGCGGCAGGCUUAACACAUGCAGGCCGAGCGGGGGAGGGUAGCUUGCUACCUAACCUAGCGGCGGACGGGUGAGUAAUGCUUAGGAAUCUGCCAUUUAGUGGGGGACAACAUUCCGAAAGGAAUGCUAAUACCGCAUACGUCCUACGGGAGAAAGCAGGGGAUCUUCGGACCUUGCGCUAAAUGAUGAGCCUAAGUCGGAUUAGCUAGUUGGUGGGGUAAAGGCCUACCAAGGCGACGAUCUGUCGCGGGUCUGAGAGGAUGAUCCGCCACACUGGGAAUGAGACACGGCCCAGACUCCUACGGGAGGCAGCAGUGGGGAAUAUUGGAUAAUGGGCGGAAGCCUGAUCCAGCCAUGACGCGUGUGUGAAGAAGGCCUUAUGGUUGUAAAGCACUUUAAGCGAGGAGGAGGCUACCUAGAUUAAUACUCUAGGAUAGUGGACGUUACUCGCAGAAUAAGCACCGGCUAACUCUGUGCCAGCCGCCGCGGUAAAAC